ACCAUUCAGUUCAAGGCUCCUCACUCUCUUAAUUAACCUCCAUUGUGUUGAAUUGCCUCAUUUUGUCUUUCUUUUUACUAAGAACGUUUUCGGUAAAGAGGAGUUUGUAGUUUAUUAGAGCCGAAGUCACUGGCCACACCAUGUCUGCAGAGAAGAAGCCAAAGAAGAAGAAGGCAGAGACAGCGAGCUCAGCCACCAAUGGUGCCGACGCAAAGCCCAAAAAGCCCAAGAGCAAGAAGAGCGAUGACCUGUCUGGAGAGGAGAGUCCUGCAGUUCAAAAUGGAAAAAAGGUAAAGAAAAAGAAAGCAGAUGAAGAAAA